UAUUAUUUUAGAUAUAAAUUAUUUUAACCUAGGUAGUAUUAGUUAAGGUCUUGAAACUUAAAGAAUUUGGCGGUAUUUUAGUCUAUUUAGAGGAAUCUGUUCCUUAAUCGAUAAUCCACGUUGUACCUUACCAAAAGAAUGUAUGUAUACCGCCGUUAUAAUGAGAAUCUUUUUAGAGUUUAGUUAAUUUUCUGGAAUUAUUUUUAAAAUUUAUUUCAGGUCAAGGUGCAGCUUAUAUUUUGGUGGAGAUGGAUUACAUUUAUUUUUAUUUAUUGUGAAUUAUUUUUUGAAACUUUAGGAUAUGAAAUUGGAUUUAAUUGUAAUUUUUUGUAGAUUGUAAAUAUGAUUAUUAGCUCUAUAAUAUGUACACAUCGCCCGUCGCUCUCAUCUAUUAAUU
rnacentral:rRNA from 1 species